rnacentral:rRNA from 1 species
GCCAGCCCGCUCAGUCAGUAGUUUGAUCCUGGCUACGAGGACGAACGCUGGCGGCGUGCUUAACACAUGCAAGUCGAACGGAAAGGCCCCCACCAUUUUUGGUGGGGGUGCUCGAGUGGCGAACGGGUGAGUAACACGUGGGUGAUCUGCCCUGUACUUCGGGAUAAGCUUGGGAAACUGGGUCUAAUACCGGAUAGGACCAUGGGUUUAGUGUCUCAUGGUGGAAAGAUUAUUAUUUUGGUGCAGGAUGAGCUCGCGGCCUAUCAGCUUGUUGGUGGGUAAUGCCUACCAAGGCGUCGACGGGUAGCCGGCCUGAGAGGGUGGACGGCCACAUUGGGACUGAGAUACGGCCCAG